GGGCCCGUAGCUCAGCUGGUCAGAGCAGCGGACUCAUAAUCCGUUGGUCCCAGGUUCGAAUCCUGGCGGGCCCA
rnacentral:tRNA from 1 species